GACGAAGGAUGCAAGCGUUAUCCGGAUUCAUUGGGUUUAAAGGGAGCGUAGGCGGCCUUAUAAGUCAGUGGUGAAAUCUCUGGGCUUAACCCAGAAAUUGCCAUUGAUACUGUAGGGCUUGAGUAUAGUUGCCGUUGGCGGAAUAUGACAUGUAGUGGUGAAAUACAUAGAGAUGUCAUAGAACACCGAUUGCGAAGGCAGCUAACGAAACUAUAACUGACACUGAGGCUCGAAAGUGCGGGGAUCAAACAGG
rnacentral:rRNA from 1 species